rnacentral:rRNA from 1 species
GUUAGGAAUCUUGCACAAUGGGGGCAACCCUGAUGCAGCGACGCCGCGUGGAGGAUGACGGAUUUCGGUCUGUAAACUCCUUUUGUCGGGAAAGACUUAGGACGGUACCCGGCGAAUAAGCUCCGGCUAACUACGUGCCAGCAGCCGCGGUAAUACGUAGGGAGCAAGCGUUGUCCGGAUUUACUGGGCGUAAAGGGCGCGUAGGCGGCCUGUUAAGUAUGAAGUGAAAUCUCCGGGCUCAACCCGGAAACUGCUUUGUAAACUGGCAGGCUAGAGGAAGGUAGAGGUGAAUGGAAUUCCCGAAGUAGCGGUGACAUGCAUUGAUAUCGGGAGGAACACCCAUGGCGAAGGCAGUUCACUGGGCCUCUCCUGACGCUGAGGCGCGAAAGCGUGGGGAGCAAACAGG